rnacentral:misc_RNA from 1 species
AGCUCUGGCUUCCCCGA